rnacentral:rRNA from 1 species
AUUGAACGCUGGCGGCAGGCUUAACACAUGCAAGUCGAGCGGGGUGAUGGUGCUUGCACUAUCACUUAGCGGCGGACGGGUGAGUAAUGUUUAGGAAUCUGCCUAUUAGGGGGGGACAACAUAUCGAAAGGGAUGCUAAUACCGCAUACGUCCAUCGGGAGAAAGCAGGGGAUCACUUGUUACUCUGCGCUAAUAGAUGAGCCUAAGUCGGAUUAGCUAGUUGGUGGGGUAAAGGCCAGCCAAGGCGACGAUCUGUAGCGGGUCUGAGAGGAUGAUCCGCCACACUGGGACUGAGACACGGCCCAGACUCCUACGGGAGGCAGCAGUGGGGAAUAUUGGACAAUGGGGGGAACCCUGAUCCAGCCAUGCCGCGUGUGUGAAGAAGGCCUUAUGGUUGUAAGGCACUUUAAGCGAGGAGGAGGCUCUUUUGGUAAAUACCCAAGAUGAGUGGACGUUACUCGCAGAAUAAGCACCGGCUAACUCUGUGCCAGCCGCCGCCGUAA